rnacentral:rRNA from 1 species
UACGUAGGGGGCUAGCGUUGUUCGGAAUUAUUGGGCGGAAAGAGCGUGUAGGCGGCCAGGUAGGUCUGCUGUGAAAACUCGAGGCUCAACCUCGAGACGUCGGCGGAAACCAUCUGGCUAGAGUCCGGAAGAGGAGAGUGGAAUUCCUGGUGUAGCGGUGAAAUGCGUAGAUAUCAGGAGGAACACCGGUGGCGAAGGCGGCUUCCUGGACAGAAACUGACGCUGAGGCGCGAAAGCUAGGGGAGCAAACAGG